GCUCCUCGUGCAGUCGUGCUGCUGCUGCUCCUCGACUGUGAAACAAACAGCUGCAGCGGCGGCAGCGAUCGAGCUCUCGCCCCCUCCCUCGCUUCGCCUUCUGAAUCCGAUCCAGAGGAAGCAUCGCGAGUCCGGGUGUCGGUUCUAUCUAUCGACGUCCGCGUCCAAAACUUCCACUAGAUCCGGGUGAGGUGGGUGCGGUGCAAGGUUGAAGGUUUAUUAAAUCUCUUGCUGACCACGAACAAGAUGUCAUUGCAUAUUGGGCGGCUUUCCCCAGAUGUGCAGCACAGAUAUCUUGAACAUCUUUUCCAGAGAUUUGGUUGUUGCACCGUGAACCUGAAAGAUGGAUAUGGGUUUGCAGUUUAUGAUUCAAAGGAUGAUGCAGCUCGAGCCAUGCGGGCAAUGCAGGGGAAAUAUGUAUGUGGGGAGCGCAUUACUGUUAAUUGGUCAAAACAGCAGCCCAGAUUUUCUCAGGGUUUCAGGAGAAGUUCAAGAUUUGUUGAAUCGUCUCAUGAAAGGACCUUCAGAGAUGGUGGGAACAAUAUUAGCUUCAAGGAUUCUUUAGCCCAGAAGAAUCAACCAGCAAAUCGUGAUCUGAGUCAUAAUCCUGAUGCUGUGCCUACACCAGAAAAGGAAUCUGAUAAAUUCGCUGAGGGUGUCGAGGAUGCUAGAGACAACAUUGGUGAAGAUCCAGGGGAUAUGAAGAGGGAUGAAGGUGGUACAACUAAAACUGAUGCAAAUGCAAUUGAACAUGAUAGAUGGGCUGAGACUGGAAAAGAAACCCCUGGUGGAGAUGGUGAUGAUUUUGACCGCUAUGAGCCUUAUCAUGGCUAUGACAGGCAAGAAAAAACAGAAAACAUGAUUAAAGCAAGUUCUUAUGUUUCUCCUGAUCAUAGACGUUCUUCAGAGAAGUGGCAAGAUCACUCCGAUAAGCUUGUUGACAUAAGCCACGAUAAAUCAAGAUCUCCAACCUGCUAUACGUGUGGCGUUGCUGGCCAUAUUGCCCGUAAUUGCCCUCAAUGGAUAGAUGGUAAAUUCAAAGCAAGUAGAGAUGAAUUGAACUUUAGAGACAAAUGGGAGUUGAGGCAGAGAAGAUUUGGGCCUCCCUCAACUAUGCGACCAGAAUUUCAUGUUGAUCCAAUGGAUCAAACUCAUCAUAGAGCUAAAGAUGGAAGGAAACCAUUUUUUGAGAGGAAUAUGAGAGUGCCUAGGUUGAAUAAUGUGCCCAGAGAGAGCAGAAGACAUGCACAUGCCCACUGCAGUGAAAAUAUGCCACAAUCCACCAAGGAAACACGCAAGAGAAGCAGGUCUGAAAGAUCACUUGGGUCAUCCCUCUUUUCUGAACCUUCAAGGUACUCUCACAAAGAUAAUAUUAGGGGAUCUCGUUCCAACAGGACUUCCUCACAUUCAAUAUCUAGAUCUCCCCGUUCCCGUUCUCGUUUUAGAGCAUGCUCUCCAUCUUAUUCUGCACAUUCUAGUUCAAAAUCAUCUCAACCAACUCAAUGUGAAGGAUCAAGAUCAAAUAUGAACCAUCCUGUCCCAUUUUCACUAUCUGCUUCACCACAACACAAGUCAUCAUCUGCUGUAGAGAACAAAAAUCUAGAUGGUCUGAUGAAUUCUCCUUUGGAGGGCAAUUUGGAUUGCACAAGAUCUGAAGUCAAACAUAUGGAUGGUAGCGAGCAUGAAGGGAAAGGUUCAGCAUUGAACAGUGAGGUCCCGAUCACUUCAUUCAACUUGAAUACCGUAAGCAAUGGGGAAUCACUUGUACCUGAUAAGGAUGUUAUUGUUGCUGGUUACACAGGGUUUAAUUUGGAUAAGAACUUGGUUGAUGAUUAUGAUGAUAAUGUUGACAAUGGAGUGCAAAGUCAGAAUGCCAACUUUGAGGACACUUCAUCAGUGAAGUCAAACCAGGACGUUCUGGCAAAAAAUGGAAGAAGCAAGUCUUUGAAGCUAACAACUACUGAAGUGAUUUCAGCUCUGAAGCACUACGGGAUGAAGGCACAAGAUGUGGAUUUAUCGGAUCAACCAGUGGAGAAGUACUUCGGUGCUGCACGCCUGUGGCCUUGGGAAAUCAUUAACUAUCGACGGCUUAAAAAGGGUCCAAUAUCUACAGAGAAUUAUGCUAAGCGACUUGAGCAGAACAAAGAAUAUGGUAUCGUGGAUCAGUAUGUCAGAAGCAGCAGUGGUUGGUGGGAAUGCCAUUAGACCAUCAGAAGGUAGUCUAGUUGCAGCCAAGGCUUUACAUGAAUACGCCCUUUGCAGUUGCGAGUGCAUUUUGAGAAUGACAAGGUUUGUGUGUCAUUGCUAGGUUUUGCUCUGCCCCCUAUUAGGGCCUGCUUGGAUGUUAGGAUUAGGCUCGAUACCUUCAUACUGGGAGGGGAACUAAUUUUCCCUGCCAACCUGACGGGGUUGAGUGUAAUACAAGCCUGUUAGUUUUCCCCAGUAUAGGUGUUCCAUGAACAUGAGUAGAGCCCUUAACUACAAGAGCCACAGGCCUACCAUGAAGUUGAGAAAGUUGUCUCUCCAUCAAGGUCUGGAUAUUUAAGGACAUUGUUCCACCGGAAGCAGCAACCUUCAUGUAUAACAUUAGCACAACAUAUUAAUAUUUGUCAUGAAGAGCACACUGAUGACGGAUACUGUUGGGCGUUUUCUAGUUUUUCUGCUUCAUGUGACUUUUAUGCUUGUGAUUGUUACUUGGGAUUGAGCGUUCAAUGUGAAAAUGUUAGCAAACGGUCAACCAUGGUGGAGAUUUGUCACUGCCUAGCUACCUCCAGAGGCAGCCUUCUGGUUGUAAUGUGCUGGAUAAUGGGAAUAUUGGGAUCCCUAGUCUUCUUUUGACCAGCGUUGGUCUUGGCUGGGAUCAACUUACGAUAUUUUAGUACUGCUGCCGACAGUAUGAAGUUGCUUUGAAUUUAUGAAAUUGCACUAUGUGACGCAACACAACCGUUGAUUGUUGAUGGACAUGAGAUAUUAUUGGCAUGUUAGUAGUGCGUGCCAACCCACUUCAGUAAUUCUGGUAUAUGAAUUCUUGCUGCUUCUGAAACUUGGACAUAGGUUUCUGCGGUUAUAUGUUGAGUAGAUUCUUUCUAUACCACUUACGAUUUGUCGUACAU